UACGUAGGUGGCAAGCGUUGUCCGGAUUUACUGGGCGUAAAGGGCGCGUAGGCGGCCUUCUAAGUCGGACGUGAAAUCCCUCGGCUUAACCGAGGAACUGCGUCUGAUACUGGAAGGCUUGAAUCCGGGAGAGGGAUGUGGAAUUCCAGGUGUAGCGGUGAAAUGCGUAGAUAUCUGGAGGAACACCGGUGGCGAAGGCGGCAGUCCUGGACCAACACUGACACUGAGGAGCGAAAGCCAGGGGAGCAAACGGG
rnacentral:rRNA from 1 species